UUUGUGUUCAAAUAGCAUGCAUUUCUUCUUCCUAACAGGAACAAGAUGUCUCCAGAGUUAAAUACAUGAAUUAAAUGCAAUUUCAAUGGAUGUCCCAAUGUUUUAAAUUGAAUAACAUGACUUUAAAGAAGAUAUGGGAAACUUCAACUCCCAGAAAAAUGAAGUAGAUACAUACUUCUCUAUUCCUUCCACUAAGUACAACUGAAAACCGUGACACUAUAUAUAAAACAAACAUAAGAAGACUCUGAAAGGCAAGAAUGGGUUUUCUUUUGCCUCCUUUAUUCCAGACUUGUAACUGAAGAAGCCAUCAACCAAGAAAUUUCCAACAGACCCAGAUGGAAAAAGUCCCAGUGAAAGCCUGUUCUUUAGCCAAAGGGGCCAGAAAAGAGCAAGAUAGCAGGACAAGUGUCAUUGAGGAGAAUUUGCCUAGGAGAUGCAAAGAGAGAGAAGCCUAUACUUUGAGGGUGGAAGCCCCUCCAACAGAUCUCUGCCAUCAUGUGAGAGAGAGCCUGAGUUAGCCUGCUGGAUGGUCAAAGAUGAGUGGUGCAGCUAAGUGAAAGCCUGCUGACUUGUAGACAUAUGAGUAAGGCCAUGCUUGAUCACCUGGCUGCCAGCUGGCCUGCCAACUAAUUGCAGGUACUUGAAAGAGUCCAGCAGAGAUCAGCCACCCCAGGUCAAAUAAACA
rnacentral:lncRNA from 1 species